AACGAACGCUGGCGGCAUGCCUAACACACGCAAGUCGAACGAGACCUUCGGGUCUAGUGGCGCACGGGUGCGUAACGCGUGGGAACCUGCCCUUAGGUUCGGAAUAACUCCCCGAAAGGGGUGCUAAUACCGGAUAAUGUCUUCGGACCAAAGAUUUAUCGCCUUUGGAUGGGCCCGCGUUGGAUUAGCUAGUUGGUAGGGUAAAAGUCUACCAAGGCGACGAUCCAUAGCUGGUCUGAGAGGAUGAUCAGCCACACUGGGACUGAGACACGGCCCAGACUCCUACGGGAGGCAGCAGUGGGGAAUAUUGGACAAUGGGCGAAAGCCUGAUCCAGCAAUGCCGCGUGAGUGAUGAAGGCCUUAGGGUUGUAAAGCUCUUUUACCCGGGAUGAUAAUGACAGUACCGGGAGAAUAAGCUCCGGCUAACUCCGUG
rnacentral:rRNA from 1 species